CGGGGCGUAGCGCAGUCCGGCAGCGCACCUGCUUUGGGAGCAGGGAGUCGGAGGUUCAAAUCCUCUCGCCCCGACCA
rnacentral:tRNA from 1 species